UUGAUGCCACGUGCUGACGAGCCAUUUUCCAGGGUGUCUCGACGAAGCAGCCUCCCAGCAUUUCUUUGCAAAUCAUGGGAGAAUUCGAUUCGUCUGAGGCGUGCAGUGAAGUCGAACACCAUUUUCGUUUGAUUUUGAAACGAACAAGACGAAACAAGUUAUAAUAAAACACAAAAAUGUAAGCUCUUUCGUCACGAGUUUUUCUCGACACACACUUUAGGAUGGGCACAGUUUCUUUCCCAUAUUCAUAACACGGCAGUGCAUGUUGCAGAAUAAUUGUAGUGUGGGUUUUGUUUGUUGGUCACAAAAGUGGCCAAACAUAUGGCAAGUAUGGUGCGGGGAAUAAAAAUGUACGUUACAGAUCGCACUCAUUAUUGCAGCAAUGGCCACACGAUGUGAACAACUGUGAUGAAUAAUCGUUGUUGUCAGUUUUUAUCAUAAAGGACGAUCCAAUUCCAAAUCUGACUGUUCACACCCCCCUUCUCUCUUCUGUCUGAAUUAGAUGACGCUGUCCCACAACUUUGUGAGGUUCAAACUCCACAUUACGUACAUUUUAGGCAAUUAACUCAUUGAAGACACCGUGCGAGAGGUGUCGAGAAAAAAAGCCGGGCCAACUGUGAAACCGAGUGUCGUGACGUUAUAACCUUUUUUUUUUUUCCUUUUUUACAACUCUCAAAAGACCCAAAAGUUUUUCCCGACAUUUUUUUUCCUUUCGUCGUCAGAAAAGCAAGGCAAGAUUAUUACAUACUUUAGAAAAAAAAAGAAGGGCGCCACACUGAAAGUUCUUGGCACUGAUGGAUAGUUCAGGAGUUAGGAAUAUGGUAGCUAUUGCGCAAUAUUAAACGUAUGUAAUACAUGCCGGACUUGAUGAUGUCACGAACGUAUAAGCGUCUGAAUACUUUAUAAGUUCCUUGCUUCCUUUGCCAACUGCUCUUCCCUAGAAACCGCCAUCGCAACGAAAUAUCAACGUUCUCGUGACCAAUACAAGCGAUCAAUGAUCAUUCUAAACCAAACUGACUGAUAAUAACUUCCAAGCAAGCGAAAUCGACUGCAACCGCCAAUCCGCUAAUUCUAGGAUCUAGGAUGCAUAAAUAUUUCAAGUUUCUAAGAAUCGUCAAAAUAGUUAAGUUGUCGUUAAUCCUUACUAAAAGGAUCAGGAGCACACGGAUUUUGUGAUGAUUCAAACAGAAAUAGUGUAUUUUCAUACGUGAUUCGUCUUUCACUGCCACCUAGGGGUAGAAAACGAAAUAAAGAAGAAUAAAGAAAAAAGA